AGGUUAAACGAGAGAACCUCCAAUUCCAAAUACGCGUUUCACAACCAGACGGUCUCUCUCGCUUUGGCAUCUCAUCUCCUCAAUUCGAACGAUCUUCGUUUCCUCUCCUCUUCUCCCGCUAACUUCAGAAGCAAGACAACGAUGCCUUCAGUUCUGGAGAACGAAGCGUCCUUCGGACUCUCUAGAUACUUCAGCGGAUCAUCGCCGCUGAAGCCUCCGUGAAAUGGAAAGCGUUAUCCGCAGGACCGCCUCCGACCUCGGUUUUAGAAACCUAGUAAAAUUUUUGCGAUUCGGAUGUUUCCAGGACCUGCCGUUUUCCUUCUCUCGCCAAAGCCUUGCAGAACGGAGCGAUUAGGCUCUACGGUUGUCGCCACUUGAAUAGUCCAUAGGGCUUCACGUUUGCCGAGGAAGACAUUGAAAGAUACUGGAAUGCAAAUCUUAUGCUGAAUUUCUUGGGAAGCAAAAUAUGGCUUCUUGACCUGGUUUUGUGACGUUUAUGCAUGACACGAGCAGUAUGAUCAGCCUCAAGGCUUGUCAGGUAUAGUAUUCUGUGCUAACAUACUUUUGGACAUGGAGUGUUGGUGCCAUCUGAUUGUGGCUCUUAUUUUAGAGCUUUUUGCUUUUUAAUGGGCAGUUUAUGCCUCCAGGAGUUUAAGACAAUGAAGAAUUUUAGUGGAGAAAAAUGUGGUCACAUGUUCAAUUCCUAGAGGUUAGUUUCAAUUCCUGGAAAUAGCCUCUCCACAUAAUAUGUGGGGGUAAGGUCUGCGUACAUCCAACAUGUUCCCGACCCCAUCCACUGUGGGAGCCUUGUGCAUGAGAAUUGUUUACUUUUUAGAGCCAUGAGAUGAGGUAUACCCUACUUUGCAAUGAUGACAAAUGGUUGUUUUCAAUAUAUUUGAUGGACAUUUCACUUUUGCGUAUGCAUGGAUGUGUUUCUUUCUUCACUUUGCUUGAUCAUCAUAUAUGUGCAUCCUCGAGGCAAGCGUUUUACGUUUUCUGGGCGAUUUGGGGUAUCUUUACGUUUACUUGUAUUCGAGGCUGGGAAAAAAUAUCCUGGUUGUGAUAACUUUGCAAUUAGAGGGGCUUGCUGGAUUUCAGAGAUAGAAUAUCCGCUUACUGUGUGUAUUUUUUUUGUUAAUUUGCAUAUCCCACUCUUUUUUGGUAAUCAAUGUAUCCCACAUUACAGUAGUUGAUGAUCAUUUUCACGUCUUUUGCUUCAAACUUGACUGCGAAUCCGAAAAGAUAGCCUGAGCAUACAAGUAUAUUUUAUAUGGCGCUCAAAUGUUCUUAGAAUUAAAGGACUGUCCAACUUAAAUCAUUGCUUCGUUUGAGGACGUUUGCUUGGAAAGGGAACUUUAGUUUCAACCCUACUGUUCUAGAUCAAAUAAGUAACCAGUACACUGCUUCCUUAUUACAGUUUUGGUACCUGUUGCAGAAGAUUAUAGCUGAUUUGAUAAUUUGGGAUUUCUAGUCAACUUUUUUUUUGAGUGACAAAACAAUAGAAUAUAUUAGAUAGACACCAGUGGUGCCACCUGAUUGCAGCAGACAGUAGGAUUGGUUCCAAGAAAUAAGCUGUAUGAUCAAAAACUUUUGUAGGAAAGGAUAUUUAGUUCAACAUCAACAUAAUUAAUUUGUCCUGCUAUUUUGUUUUCCCAUUAAGAGUAUGUUGGCGGGUAUGUUGAAGUAGUUGAUGGUUAAAGAUUUUUGUAGUGACUUCUGGUUCAAUGUUCUAUUUUUUUCCAUUAAAUUGAACAUAAACAAUUGUUUACAAUAUUGCAAUGCUGUUUUCCAUUGAAGAAGUAAGUGUU